rnacentral:lncRNA from 1 species
AAUUUUAAUCCAUUUUCCUUUUUUUUCUAGUUUUUAGGCCCACUACUUCCUAUUCUUUAUAUUUCUGCAGACUUUUUUUUUCGUUUUUUUUUUUAAAAGCCUUUUAUAUUGAUAACACGUAAGUGCAUUUUACAUAUUAAUUAACGUUCUUCAAUUCUAUUCUCUUUAGUUUUUAAUCCAUUUUCCUUUUUUUUUUCUAGUUUUUAGGCCUACUACUUCCUAUUCUUUAUAUUUCUGCAGACAUUUUUUUUUUCGUUUUUUGAGGCUCCUAUUACCUUAGCUGUAUUUGAAGAGCUACCAUAAUCUGGGUUUGUCUGUCCUUCCGUUUUCGAAUGGAAAAAUCAAAUGGUUCAGAACUGCAAUUAAUUUCCUAAAAUUUCUUUACGUUGGAUGUUAUUUGAUGUAAAAGACUUGUUAAUCUGGAAUGAAAUACUGACUUGAUUAGUGGAGUCGCUUGUGGCAAUCGAUUGAAUGAAUUUUUCCUCGCCUGUAAUAUUUUUUUCGAUAUCUUUCAUUGUUAAAAAUGUUUGAAGUUCGGACGCAUGCUGUUUAAUACUGGCAACAUUUUCUUGUACUUCGACGAUCUCUUUUACUUUCUUUUUCAGAGUAGUCAAUAAUUUUUCUAUUUUGCAUUUUUCGUGUUGUUCAACUAUCAAUAAUUCUUUAAUCAUGUCAUCCUGACGUUUAUCAAGGUGGUGAUUUACUUGUAUCCUGGUUUGUUUUAUUUUUGCUCCAAUUUCUCUUUUCUUGUUUUCUAUAGAUUUCAAAUUUUCAUUCCUGUUCGUGCAGAGUCGUUCAAUAUUCUCGACGACGUCCUGCAGGGUUUGUUCCAAUUCGUAAAAGGUAUUUGAAGUUUUGACGUUUUUUAUGAGUUCAUUAAUGUCGAUUAAACCUUUACAAUCGUUUUGAGAUUUCAGACAUUUCUUACAGCAUGGACACUCGUGUUUUGUACAGAAAAGUUCGUAUUUCUCAUUAUGAAGUUUGCAGAUCUGGGCGAUUUGCAGGACUUCGGUAGGUACCGUUUUGUAUUCGGCGAUAGAAACGGUUUCGUGGCUUUUUGUUGCUUUGGAAACAGCGUGAUGAGUCUUACACUCUUUACAAA